AGGACGAACGCUGGCGGCGUGCCUAAAACAUGCAAGUCGAACGGUGUAGCAAUACACAGUGGCGAACGGCGGAGUAAUACAUAAGAAACGUGCCCUGAAGACCGGGAUAGUCAUUGGAAACGAUGGGUAAUACCGGAUGUGGUCGCAGCUUGGCAUCAAGCAGCGAUUAAAAUGGUUUUUCGCUUCAGGAGCGUCUUAUGGCCUAUCAGGUAGUUGGUGGGGUAAUGGCCUACCAAGCCGACGACGGGUAGCGGGUCUGAGAGGAUGAUCAGCCACAUUGGGACUGAGACACGGCCCAAAAUCCUACGGAGGCAGCAGUGGGGAAUAUUGGACAAUGGGCGAAAAGCCUGAUCCAGCAAUGCCGCGUGUGUGAAGAAGGUCUUCGGAUUGUAAAAGCACUUUCGACGGGACGAAGCGAAAGUAGACGGUACCUGCAGAAGAAGCGCCGGCUAACUAACGUGCCAGCAGCCGC
rnacentral:rRNA from 1 species